rnacentral:tRNA from 1 species
GUUUCCGUAGUGUAGUGGUUCAUCACGUGUGCUUCACACGCACAAGGUCCCCGGUUCGAUCCCGGGCGGGAAACA